rnacentral:tRNA from 1 species
CGUCUGUCAUUGCCCGCAGGGUCGCGACGGGUUCGAAAUCCGUCUACGCGACUCGAUGCGGCGCGCGGUCCGGGGCCGCGGGAAGGCGG